CAAUAGCGUAUAUUAAAGUUGUUGCAGUUAAAAAGCUCGUGGUUGGAUUUCUGGUUGAAGCGACCGGUCGGGCGUUGAUUCGUCUGCACUGGAGUCGGUUUUGGCCAUCCUCUAGGAAAGUGCGUCUGGUAUUAAGUUAUCGGGCGUAUGAUCCUGGUCUUUUACUGUGAAAAAAUUAGAGUGUUUAAAGCAGGCCUUCGCCUUGAAUACAUUAGCAUGGAAUAAUAAGAUAGGACUUUGGUCUAUUUUGUUGGUUUGCAGACCGAAGUAAUGAUUAAUAGGGAUAGUUGGGGGUAUUUAUAUUCCGAUGUCAGAGGUGAAAUUCUUAGAUUUUCGGAAGAUAAACUUAUGCGAAAGCAUUUACCAAGGAUGUUUUCAUUA
rnacentral:rRNA from 1 species